UGUGCGCUGGAAGCUAAAGGUGCUAGCUUGGGCUUUUGGCUUUGUGGUCAGCGCACUCGCCUGCCAUGCCAGGUGCGUCAUGUGCCACGGCUCCUUGCAGUGCUCCCCCACUAAGCCAAAACUCUUUAGCUGCCAGCGCACC